UGGGGAAUUUUGCACAAUGGGCGCAAGCCUGAUGCAGCGACGCCGCGUGAGGGAUGAAGGCCUUCGGGUUGUAAACCUUUUUCGCUCAUGGUCAAGCCGCAGCUUUGGGUUGUGGUGAGGGUAGUGGGUAAAGAAGCGCCGGCUAACUACGUGCCAGCAGCCGCGGUAAUACGUAGGGCGCGAGCGUUGUCCGGAAUUAUUGGGCGUAAAGGGCUUGUAGGCGGUUGGCCGCGUCUGCCGUGAAAUCCUCUGGCUUAACUGGGGGCGUGCGGUGGGUACGGGUUGACUUGAGUGCGGUAGGGGAGACUGGAAUUCCUGGUGUAGCGGUGGAAUGCGCAGAUAUCAGGAGGAACACCGGUGGCGAAGGCGGGUCUCUGGGCCGUUACUGACGCUAAGGAGCGAAAGCGUGGGGAGCGAACAGG
rnacentral:rRNA from 1 species